rnacentral:rRNA from 1 species
GUCGAACGCUGGAGGCGUGCUUAACACAUGCAAGUCGAACGAAGUGGCGAACGGGUGAGUAACGAGUAAUCAACCUGCCCUUCAGAGGGGGACAACAGUUGGACACGACUGCUCAUACCGCAUACUGAAGGAGGGGAUUGCGUCUGAUUAGCUAGUUGGAGGGGUAACGGCACACCAAGGCGAUGAUCAGUAGCCGGGCUGAGAGGAUUAACGGCCACAUUGGGACGUAGACAGGGCCCAGACGCCUACGGCAGGCAGCAGUGGGGAUUCUUCCGCAAUGGACGAAAGUCUGACGGAGCAACGCCUCGUUAGUGAUGACGGCCUUCGGGUUGUAAAGCUCUGUUAAUCGGGACGCGGUACCGGAAUAGAAAGCCACGGCUAACUACGAGCCAGCAGCCGCGGUAAUUC